rnacentral:rRNA from 1 species
UAUAAGUAUAAACGCUUUAAGCGUGAAACCGCGAACGGCUCAUUACAACAGCUAUAAUUUACUUGAUCUUGACAAACUUACAUGGAUAACUGAGGUAAUUCUUGAGCUAAUACAUGCACCAAAGCUUUGACCGUAAGGGAAGAGCGCAUUUAUUAGAACAAAACCAAACGGCUUCGGCUGUUCCCAGUUGAAUCAGAAUAACUCAGCYGAUCGUACGGUCUUGCACCGACGACGUGUCUUUCAAGUAUCUGCUUUAUCAACUUUCGAUGGUAGGGUAUCUGCCUACCAUGGUGGUGACGGAUAACGGAGGAUCAGGGUUCGACUCCGGAGAAGGGGCCUGAGAAAUGGCCACUACGUCUAAGGAUGGCAGCAGGCGCGCAAAUUACCCACUCUCAGAAUUUGGAGGAGGUAGUGACGAGAAAUAACGAGGUUGAUCUCUUCUGAGGCCAACCAUCGGAAUGGGUACAAUUUAAACCCUUUAACGAGUAUCUAUGAGAGGGCAAGUCUGGUGCCAG